AAAUCAAAUCUUUUCUAAAUAUUAUACCUGAUAUUGUUUUAGUUCCACACUUUAUUAACCUUUUAAACUCUAAUUCUAAAAUCCGUAUUUAUCUAUACACUUUUUGUUCAAGUAAAAAGGAAAAGAAAAUUCUCCUUCCUUAUCCUUCCACCGUCUUUAUCAUAUUUUUCAUCCUUUCUCCCUAGAAGCUAAUGUACAUCUUCUCUAUUCCAAUGACGUGCAGGUUCCUGGAAUCUCCCUCUCGCUUAUUCACAUCGUUCUAUUCUAGGAUCUUCUCUCGCGUACAUUCUUCAAUUCCAGAAGUCUCCCGUACGUCUCCUGGACUACAGCACGGUGAGCUCCUCUCAACACGCGCACGCUUAUCUCCUGGCCGCGCCGCUCUGCGCCUGGGAUAUUUCUGUCGCCCAGCACUCCGUUCCUGCUCCCGCGCCGCCGCUCCUGCCCUUUUCCAUGGACGUCUCCCAGCUCGCCAGCGCCUAGUGCUCCUCCAUGGCCGCUGCUCCUUCCCUGGUCGCGGCCGCCGUCGAGUCGUCGGAUUCGUUCCUCCCCUGCUCACCCCAUGGCCGACGUCUCCUCUACCAGUGCUCCUUCCAGCGCUCGGCCUCCAGCUCCUACGCGCGCUCCGUCUUCCCCUGCCGCGACCCCGUGGAACUCCCAGCUCGUGCUCACAAUCCCCAUCACCUAUGCGUCCACUCUAGCAUCUCCCUCAUGCGUCCUCUGCGCGAGCGAAUCUGCCUUGGUCCGACCAGCGAUACCUCCGCCGGCUCCCUGAUGCUCACGCGCGUCAGCUGCUUCUCCGCCUAUUGCACUUGAUUCCUGUAGGUCUCGCCCUCCGAGUUCCUUUCGGUCACCAGACAUGCAUCGCUGCUGACCUCCCUCAUCUGAUCGGGCCCUACAUCAGUAGCGUGUCUUCUCGUCAAGCUCGUGGCCACGGCUCCCUGAUGCCUCGUCAUCCCUGUUCUCCCUCACAUCUGAGCUCGCCUCUGCGUGUUCGUAUGGCGCCACAGCGGUCUCAUACCAGCAACCACUGCUGAUGUCCGUGGUUAGGACAGCAGGUGCGCUAGUUGAGCGCUUGAUGCGAAGGACCAGGGCUGAGUCGACCACAAGAUGUUGUUAAUCGUGGGCUUCUUCGCAAGGCGAUGCGGACGAACGAACUUAAGGAUGGAUGACCCGAACAAGUGCCAGACCAAAAGCUGAUCGCCAAGUGGACGUCGUCUAACAAACACUAACCUAGUGUUAUUCCAGGCAAGCCCCGGUGCAUUUGCCACCUCCUUGUUGUUUUAAAACUUUUAUCACUUAUAUGCUGCAUUAGGUGAUAGGAGUUGAGUGAUGAAACAGUUGAUGCAUUACCAUUCCUUGGAAUUUGAUUAUCCUCCUUGAUACCUGUUUUACAAAAAGAACUAAUGAGGCUUAGCCCUGCCUAAAGAACUAAAACUUGAUUCUUUUUAAAAGAAUGUUGUGUAACACUGGUAUGGGUUUGUUUUAUGAAAAAGGACUUGUAAUGGUGAGCGCAUCAUCUGCAGUGAUGAAUUCAUCAUUCAAGUAAGGUACCUCUGUCAGGUACAUGGUUUGGGUGUUAAAUAAUAAGAUGAGACCAGACGUUGAGCAGGAAAGGUCGCCCGUCUGUGUCGACUAAGGACCGUACCGAAAGUAGGCUUGCUGAUCUAGGACCCUUUAACUGGCCACAUGCCUCAUCAUGGGUAAGCUUUGCCUCGGUCGGACCAAUACCAGAACAGCUCGCACGCACUGGGAGUGGAGAGAUGGCGAGAGUAGCUUGUACCCUCCGUGGCAAGAGACUGGAAGGUGGGGUGCUGUACUCUCGGAAACAUGGCGGGCACCAUGGCGAGAGUAACGUGUACCAACCAGGCCAAUGGCUGGACGGUGGAGUACUGUGCUCUCGGGUCGCGUGAACCCGUUCUGGUCUUGAGAAACCUGUGGGUGAGUUGACAUAUGCAGGGUUAAGUGCUACAUAUGUCGUGUGGUUGGAGAUCCUCAGCUGAGUAUUAAUCGAUUCGGAUCGCCGUUACUUCUCGGAUAUGAAGACUGGAUCACUGCCCUGCAUCGUAGAUAACAAGUGAAACUAAAGCUGCUAAAAUGAAGCUAGUAUAGGACAAGUGAAUGCUCUAGAUUAGGCAAAUCUAGAUUCAGGAAAAGUACUUAAUUUGUGAAGUAAAAGUUUUGGCAUAAGGAUCCACUACUAGUAAGCUUUUCUGCAAAAAUGAGUCUUUGAAACUUGAUGAGCCUUAUCUUGAAUCCUUUUUAAACCAGCAUACCCUUGAGAGUCUUUUCUUUAGUCGGGUAAGUCUUGCUGAGUAAUUGCGUACUCAGGGCUUUAUUCCCUGUUGUUUUUCAGGUUAUAAGUUUGUUCUGUUGUGGAUGGUGCUAAGUGCUGGUGGGCUCGGCCUUCUUAUAUAAGUAUAUCCCAUCUUUAGCUUCUUUAUUGAGGAUUGUCACUUAAGCUAGCAUGUAUUUGAAAACCUAUAAAUAUUUUAUACAUUUUAAUUUGUAAUUCUUUUGAAUCAUUUUCUCUUGUAAUCACUCCGAUAAUUGUAUAAUGUAAAAUUAUUGUAACAUGUAAUCAUUUUGUAAUAAAGAAUUUAUUUCCGCUGCA